rnacentral:rRNA from 1 species
UCAGUCGACUCCUACGGGGAGGCAGCAGUGGGGGAAUAUUGCACAAUGGGCGCAAGCCUGAUGCAGCCAUGCCGCGUGUGUGAAGAAGGCCUUCGGGUUGUAAAGCACUUUCAGUCGUGAGGAAGGUGGUAGUGUUAAUAGCACUAUCAUUUGACGUUAGCGACAGAAGAAGCACCGGCUAACUCCGUGCCAGCAGCCGCGGUAAUACGGAGGGUGCGAGCGUUAAUCGGAAUUACUGGGCGUAAAGCGCAUGCAGGUGGUUUGUUAAGUCAGAUGUGAAAGACCCGGGGCUCAACCUCGGAAUAGCAUUUGAAACUAGGCAGACUAGAGUACUGUAGAGGGGGGUAGGAAUUUCAGGUGUAGCGGUGAAAUGCGUAGAGAUCUGAAGGAAUACCGGUGGCGAAGGCGGCCCCCUGGACAGAUACUGACACUCAGAUGCGAAAGCGUGGGGAGCAAACAGGAUUAGAUACCCUGGUAG